rnacentral:rRNA from 1 species
CCGUCCCAUGUUGCCAGCAUUAAGUUGGGGACUCAUGGGAGACUGCCGGUGACAAACCGGAGGAAGGUGGGGAUGACGUCAAGUCAGCAUGGCCCUUACGUCCUGGGCUACACCCACGCUACAAUGGCCGGUACAACGGGCGGCGAAACCGCGAGGUGGAGCGAAUCCCUUAAAGCCGGUCUCAGUUCGGAUUGUAGGCUGCAACUCGCCUACAUGAAGCCGGAGUUGCUAGUAACCGCCGGUCAGCAUACGGCGGUGAAUAUGUUCCCGGGCCUU